rnacentral:lncRNA from 1 species
GAGGGUGAAUGUGAAUUGAACUAGCUAGGGUCAGAUCUAAUAGAAUGAUAGGUGGAUAUUCUGGUACAUGAAUAUGUGAUAACCUUUUUUUUUUUGUCAAAGAAUAUGUGAUAGGGAAAUUUCACCCGGUAACUAACAAAAAAAACUUAAAUUAAAUAAGUAACCAAAAGUUCAUUAUCUUUCUUCUUUUUCUUUCCUUUCAUUUCCUAUCUUUCUCUAUCUUCUCUCUAAAAAUCUAAUUUUGUUUUUAUUUUUGUCAUUUCACCAAUUCUCUCGUCGUGAUAGCCUUAUAAAUCAAGCAUUACAAAAGCCUCUAAGCAAAAAAAAUAAAUCAAGCAUUUUUAAGCUAGAUGUUAAAAUAUCGGCCUUGAUUAAACUAACCCUAAUUGCUGAAAACUAAAUACUUAUAGUUCCACAAUUAAUAUUGUUAACCAUAAUAAUC